rnacentral:rRNA from 1 species
GAUGAACGCUGGCGGCGUGCCUAAUACAUGCAAGUCGAGCGAACGGACGAGAAGCUUGCUUCUCUGAUGUUAGCGGCGGACGGGUGAGUAACACGUGGAUAACCUACCUAUAAGACUGGGAUAACUUCGGGAAACCGUAGCUAAUACCGGAUAAUAUUUUGAACCGCAUGGUUCAAAAGUGAAAGACGGUCUUGCUGUCACUUAUAGAUGGAUCCGCGCUGCAUUAGCUAGUUGGUAAGGUAACGGCUUACCAAGGCAACGAUGCAUAGCCGACGUGAGAGGGUGAUCGGCCACACUGGAACUGAGACACGGUCCAGACUCCUACGGGAGGCAGCAGUAGGGAAUCUUCCGCAAUGGGCGAAAGCCUGACGGAGCAACGCCGCGUGAGUGAUGAAGGUCUUCGGAUCGUAAAACUCUGUUAUUAGGGAAGAACAUAUGUGUAAGUAACUGUGCACAGCUUGACGGUACCUAAUCAGAAAGCCACGGCUAACUACGUG